rnacentral:rRNA from 1 species
UACAGAGGUGGCAAGCGUUUGUUCGGAAUUACUGGGCGUAAAGGGCGCGUAGGCGGCCUACUAAGUCAGACGUGAAAUCCCCCGGCUUAACCUGGGAACUGCGUCUGAUACUGGAAGGCUUGAGGAUGGGAGAGGGAUGUAGAAUUCCAGGUGUAGCGGUGAAAUGCGUAGAUAUCUGGAGGAAUACCGGUGGCGAAGGCGGCAUCCUGGACCAUUACUGACGCUGAGGCGCGAAAGCUAGGGGAGCAAACGGGG